rnacentral:rRNA from 1 species
GACGAACGCUGGCGGCGUGCUUAACACAUGCAAGUCGAACGGAAAGGCCUGCUUUCCCUUGUGGAUUGCGGGUACUCGAGUGGCGAACGGGUGAGUAACACGUGAGUGAUCUGCCCCCAACUUGGGUAUAAGCCUGGGAAACUGGGUCUAAUUCCCGAUAGGACUGCAGGGUGGUGCCUGUGGUGGAAAACGAUUUUCUAGUGGUUGGGGAUGAGCUCGCGGCCUAUCAGCUUGUUGGGGGGGUAAUGGCCUACCAAGGCGGCGACGGGUAGCCGGCCUGAGAGGGUGGACGGCCACAUUGGGACUGAGAUACGGCCCAGACUCCUACGGGAGGCAGCAGUGGGGAAUAUUGCACAAUGGGCGGAAGCCUGAUGCAGCGACGCCGCGUGGGGGAUGACGGCCUUCGGGUUGUAAACUCCUUUCGACCGCGAGGAAGCCACCUGGUUGGAAGGGUGGUGACGGUAGUGGUAGAAGAAGCACCGGCUAACUACGUG